rnacentral:rRNA from 1 species
UACGAAGGGGGCUAGCGUUGUUCGGAAUUACUGGGCGUAAAGCGCGCGCAGGCGGUCUUCCAAGUCAGUGGUGAAAGCCUGGAGCUCAACUCCAGAACUGCCAUUGAAACUGUUAGACUUGAGUACGAGAGAGGUGAGUGGAAUUCCCAGUGUAGAGGUGAAAUUCGUAGAUAUUGGGAAGAACACCAGUGGCGAAGGCGACUUCCUGGACCAAUACUGACGCUCAUGUGCGAAAGCGUGGGGAGCAA